UUUGUACCUUCAAGCUUUGCUUGGUGUUGGGGUGUUUGUCUCGCCUCUGCGCGCAGACUCGCCUUAAAACGAUUGGCAGCCGGCGUAUUGAUUUCGGAGCGCAGUACAUCUCGCGCUUUGCACUCAUAACGACGACGUCCAAAAAGUACAUUUUUUACACUCUUGACCUCGGAUCAGGUAGGGAUACCCGCUGAACUUAA
rnacentral:misc_RNA from 1 species